rnacentral:lncRNA from 1 species
AUGACGUUGGUUCAUUCAUUGGAUGCCACGUCAUAGCUACAUGUUAUGGGGAAUGGAGUAGUGUGGGGAGAUAUAUUUCUUUUAUCAGUCCCUGCAUCAAAAACUCCGCCCUUAAACUCUAACUUACUGCUUAAUUCAUGGCAACAAUCACGUUAAUUUAUUGUCUUAGUCACAUUGUAUGACCAUCGGCGUCAAGGAAUUGUUAUAUAAGCCCCCUAUAAAAAAUGGACAAAUUUUGAAGUAAUGAACAAUGUGACAAAUUUUUAUGUUUAUAAAUAUAGAAUGUGUAAGGGGUUGUUUAAAAAAAAAUCCACCCUCCAUGGCCCAUUCCACCUUUCCCUCCACCCAGCGAGCGUCAUGGCGAGAGAGGGAUUCUGUUAGCGACGGGACGAAGAACCCUGACCAUCAGAUCAGUGCUUCUUUGUCUUACCUUGGGCCGUUCCCUGUACUCCCUUUGUCUCAUCCUCUGGGCUGAUGCGACUCCUUAUGAGUGCCAUCCCUAGCGAGUCUCGGAAAACGUACGGUCAUGAUCACCGAGACUGCUAAACUAUUCCACAAGUUGCUGGGUAAUAGUACUCGUCAUUGGUGCCCACAGAUAAAAACACAACCGAAACGAAUCACGAGUAACAUCCCAAGUCACGGAGUCUCAAGACUCCUUUUGGGUCAAAAGAUACUGCAGCCUGUGACCGGUUCUCUGACCGAGUUGAAACAUUAAGGUCCAUAACUGUUAUAAUUAGAUAGCCUGCAUCAAGGUAAGCGGCAGUAAAUUAGUAAUACUCAUUUGGCCAUGACCUGUCUCAACUUUCUUGUUGGAAAUAACCCCUCGCCUACUUUCUUUUCUCGUGAACCUUUUAAUGUGCAAGGGCAGUGCUUGAGAUUGUCUGCAAUCAUGCACCAGACUUCUCAGAGGUGGUCUCGUCCCUUGCCGUAUAACCUGGUCUUCUCUGGAAAGGCUUGCACUAAUUUGGCUGCUUCCUGUUUGUUGGUUUGCGCCACUCACUCUGGUGCGGUCUUCCUCCUGUUUCCUUGAUGAUUCCACUUGCUGCUUCGUUUGAACCCUCUGUAUCCAGUGAGGAUGGUCCACCUAUCGUUCCCCACGUCCAAACCAGGUGAUCUACAUGUGAAGCAAAAUGCAUUAGUGAACUAGAUUUUGGAAUGGUUACCAAAAAAACUAGUUUAUGGAGCACAAAUUAUUAUGUAGGCAUGUGAUUGCACAUGGAACAAAGUAUAAAUUUUGUGAUUCCGUAUCUGAUUAAUGAUUUUUUUAUUCGUUAUAAUUCCAUGUUAUGCAUGCACUUUUCUGAAUGGGAGGGUUCAUGAGAUGUGUGGCUGUGAUUUGAUGUGAGCAGGAUCCCGGCCCUCCGGCAGCGGUAAGCCCCUCCACUGGACGUCGUGCCUGAAGAUCGCCGAGGACGUCGCCGCCGGCCUCCUCUACCUGCACCAAUCCUCGCCGCCGGUCGUCCAUGGCAACCUCAAGUCCUCCAACGUCCUCCUUGGUACGGACUUCGAGUCCUGCCUCACCGACUACGGCCUCGUCCCCUGCCUCCUCCCCUCCGCCGACGACGACCACCACCUCCCCACCUCCUCUUCCCUCUUCUACCGCGCCCCCGAAACCCGCCACCCCCGAUCCCGCUUCGUCACCCCCCACUCCGACGUCUACAGCUUCGGCGUCCUCCUUCUGGAGCUCCUCACAGGCAAGACUCCCUUCCAAGACCUUGUCGAGGAGCACGGCGCCGACAUCCCCCAGUGGGUACGCUCUGUGCGCGACGAGGAGAAGGAGUCCGGGGAGGACCCGGUGUCGUCCGGGAACGAGGCGUCGGAGGACAAGCUGGCGGCGCUGCUCAACGUCGCGAUGGCAUGCGUGGCGGUGGACGCCGAGCGGCGGCCGGCGACCAAGGAGGUGCUGAAGAUGAUCCGGGACACGCGGACGGAGGUGAUCGUGUCAUCGAACAGCAGCGACCACUCGCCAGGGCGGUGGUCGGAUACGGUGCAGAGCUUGCCAAGGGAACGUGGGCCAGAGCAUUUGAACUUUGGAGAGAGGGACUGAUUCCGGUUUUUUUCGGUUUUUAAAUGAUUCUUCUCUUCAACGGCCAAGUUGUAGAGUCCCUGGAGUGUGGUGUGCUACUUUGAGAUUUGAG